UACGUAGGGUGCAAGCGUUAUCCGGAAUUAUUGGGCGUAAAGAGCUCGUAGGCGGUUUGUCGCGUCUGCCGUGAAAGUCCGGGGCUCAACUCCGGAUCUGCGGUGGGUACGGGCAGACUAGAGUGAUGUAGGGGAGACUGGAAUUCCUGGUGUAGCGGUGAAAUGCGCAGAUAUCAGGAGGAACACCGAUGGCGAAGGCAGGUCUCUGGGCCGAAAUUGACGCUGAGGAGCGAAAGCGUGGGGAGCAAACAGG
rnacentral:rRNA from 1 species